AGCAAACGCUGGCGGCGUGCCUAAUACAUGCAAGUCGAACGAGGAAGUACCUUCGGGUAUUGUACGAGUGGCGCACGGGUGAGUAACACGUGGAUAACCUUCCUUCAGGUGGGGAAUAACCAGUCGAAAGAUUGGCUAAUACCGCAUGAGACCACAGCAUCUGCGGAUGCAGCGGUCAAAGAUUUAUUGCCAGAAGAUGGGUCCGCGCCCGAUUAGCAGUUGGUGAGGUAAAAGCUCACCAAGGCGACGAUCGGUAGCUGGUCUGAGAGGAUGACCAGCCACACUGGAACUGAGACACGGUCCAGACUCCUACGGGAGGCAGCAGUAGGGAAUAUUGCACAAUGGA
rnacentral:rRNA from 1 species